rnacentral:lncRNA from 1 species
GUUCAUAAUUAAAUGCUCAGCUGUUCAAAUAACAAUAAAAUGUAAAAAAAAAUACUGUAUAACAAUAGGACAGGAGUACCUUUUUUGAAAUCAAAGCUCCAUAAGGUGCACAUUUAAAUAAAAAAAAUACUUAAAAUAAGCCUAUAAAAUAAAAAUAAGGCCAAUCUUUUUCCGUAAAUAAAUAUAUUUACAUGAGGCUGCGAGCUACACUGAUUGCUUGGACAUGUGCCGCUCCUUCAAUCGUGAAGCACUGAACCUGGACGACAGCAGGGCGCUAUUAUCACCAAUUCUCAAAAGAGACACCGUUGUCCCUAUAAAGGUAGUAUGUUGAAUUAAAAUAAUACAGUUUGUACGUUCUUUAUAACUGCCUUUAUAACUCUAACUUUAUAAAUAUAAUUUUAUGACUCCUGAUGUUUUAACAGAGACUGAAAUUAAUGGAGACACUUUAAUGAAACUAAGACUACGAAAGCUUAAAUAUUCCCCAAAAUGAAGGAUGAAGUUAAAUUUAUAUGAUUACAAGAAAACCUAAAGACUGAGAUGCCAGCAAGACCACAGACACCACAAGACUCUGGGGAUUUUUCUACCUUUCCGCUCGCUGUUGAGAAGCCUGUAUCUACUAGGCAGCCGACUCCACUCACCUCUCACUUGGCGCUGCCUCUAGAUUCCAGCGGUGGCUUUCCACUGUUGGUCUUCGACUUUCCCUCACCGAUGUCCGGCUGUUGCUGGUGUAGUCUCCAUGCUGGUCUUUCCGACAGAGUGCUGGCGGUUUCGUCAUCCGGCCAACUGAGUCUUCAGUGUUUGUUAAUAAACUUUAAUAUUCAUUCACCUGCUGUUGGAUCCUGGUCUUACUUCUGACACUGUUCUAAUUAUUUAAUGUGGUGUACAGAAGAACUUGGUGACUUUAACAUUUUCUCAUAUUUAUGCAUUUGGUUGUUAUUGCAAAGAAACUUUAUUGCAUUCCCAUUUUUAAUGAGAUGCUCAAUUAGGAGUGAUGGACAGGUGUCCACACAUGUUUAGCCGAACUAUAUUGUUAUCUCUGCAAAUCACUGAGCUGUUUUUACCAUACCAACAUGCACCUUUCUGCAAACUUUUGUGUAGGACUUCCUGUUGAUAUUUCACCUGGAUCAAUCUCAACACAACAUAUUGCUUGUUUGUAGAAACAUAUUACAACAAGUGGAAGUUGUGGCCUUAUAGUUAGAGACUCCUAACCCUAAGGUUGUGGUUUCGAGUUUUAGGCCGGCAAUACCAUGUUUGUUGCAGGUUCAGCAAAGUAAGAAAACAUAAUUUUACCAGGAGUCCAUAAAAAAUUUGGCAACCAUUGUAGAGGUAGGUUUACUAAAAAAUAAAGUGACCCUUCAAUACUUGCAUUUCUGUUAUCCUGUAAGAAUGUUUCAUGUGUGUUUAUUUUUAUUAUUAUUUUUUUAUUUAUUUUGCAGAUGGAGGAUCUAUCGUGGCCAAAAUUUGUAUCAAAAAAGGCCAAGGUCAGCUGGGUUAAGAGUCACAGACAGAGUCUGGUGGCACAAACAGUGGAUGAAGAGUUGGAUGAAGAAAGACAAAUCUGUGUUGAUUUGGCACACAAAGGUAAUAAAUCACUGAUUUACAUGAACAGUAAAGCAUAAAUGAUCAGAAACAUAGUAUGCCAUAUUCAAUUUAACAAAUUUUCAAUUAAAGGUCUCAAUGGUUGCUGCUGUCCUGCUGUUUCCACUUCUGUUAAAGGAGAGUCUGAGAUCUCUUUAUGUCAUCAGUGAGGUGAGUCUAUUUGUAUCCAUAAUAUCUAAAUCUAUCAUUUUUUUUUUUCUUUUUCAACCCCUUCUCUUGGUUAUGAUUUCUUCUAAGUCAAGUCAAGUCUGCUUUAUUGUCAAUUCUUCCACAUGUACAGUACAUACAUACAGAGAAUCGAAAUUGUGUUACUCUCAGACCCCCGGUGCAUACAGAUAACACUAACAGUAGAGCCUAAAAUCUACAUCAAAUAUAACAUAUAAGAUACAUAUAAGAUUUUCCGUGAACACAAAAACACAACAGUCUCUUACAGUCCUCUGAGUUGAACAUAGUAAUCGGAUGAAGUCCAGUUUAUUUCCAAAGAGUGUACCCCCUACGACUCGUCCCUCCUUCUUGCCGACAUCCAGCAGAAACUCACGACUGUAUGCGCGCUUAAAGACAGAUAGACGCGAUGACGACGUACAAAAACACUGCGACUCACAAGACAAAAAACACGAAAACACCGUUCUGUCGGGACAGAGAGAAGCCGCUGCGUGUGGACGCGCCGCCAUCUUUUAAUGAUGUUUAAUCUAUAAACAUUUGUUUAUAGAAUGGGGUUAUUCUGUGGAACUGUUUGUGUCCAUGCAGGUUCCACAGUAACAGCAGCAAGAAUGAAUAAAGGGAAAAUUCAAACAAAAAUUUAAAUUCUGUUAUCAUUUCCUCACUUUCAUGUUGUUUCAAACUUGUAUUACUUUCUAGAAAUUAUUUUCAAGAAUGUCACUGAAAAUCACUGACAUGUUGUUCUGGACCCCAGUGAUUUUCAUCUUAUGGUCAUUCUGUAACAUUCUUAUUCUUAACAAUAUCUUAUUUUGUGUUCUGCAGAAGAAAAACAUUAUACAGGUUUGGAACAACAUCAGGGAGAGUAAAUGACUACAAAAUAUCCCUUUAAUGGAGCCAUACACGUUUGAUUACAAUUUGCUAUAUAUAUAAUUAUAUUUUUCUCACUAUUGUCAACUUAUAAUAUAAGGGAUUCUUGCAUAAUUUAGUUUUUCAUGACCACUUGCCACCCUCUCUAUUAUCUUUUGUAUAUUAUUAAUAUAGUUUACACUGCCUCAUCUUUCUUUUUAAAGCCUCUAUUACAUUGUGACAGGUUAAAAAAAAGUCAAAGAUUUAUUACCAUCUUAUUUUUGGAAUCUUAAUUAAAUAAUAAUAAUAAUAAUAAUAAUUAUAUAUAUAUAAUAUAUAUAUAUAUAAUUUCACGUUAACUACUAAAUAUUGUUAUAGUAUAACAUUAUUUUCUCCUUGUUUAGGACCUAGAUACACCCAACCCUGUGCUGUUUAUGAAGGGACAUGCCUUGGAUGCAAAUACUUGCUAUUUCUUGUUAUCCUGUAAGUAAUGUUUCAUGUUGUUGUUUAUUUUUUUAUUUAUUAUUAUUUUUUUAUUUAUUUUGCAGAUGGAGGAUCUAUCGUGGCCAAAAAUUUGUAUCAAAAAAGGCCAAGGUCAGCUGGGUUAAGAGUCACAGACAGAGUCUGGUGGCACAAACAGUGGAUGAAGAGUUGGAUGAAGAAAGACAAAUCUGUGUUGAUUUGGCACACAAAGGUAAUAAAUCACUGAUUUACAUGAACAGUAAAGCAUAAAUGAUCAGAAACAUAGUAUGCCAUAUUCAAUUUAACAAAUUUUCAAUUAAAGGUCUCAAUGGUUGCUGCUGUCCUGCUGUUUCCACUUCUGUUAAAGGAGAGUCUGAGAUCUCUUUAUGUCAUCAGUGAGGUGAGUCUAUUUGUAUCCAUAAUAUCUAAAUCUAUCAUUUUUUUUUCUUUUUCAACCCCUUCUCUUGGUUAUGAUUUCUUCUAAGUCAAGUCAAGCUUAUUUUUUUUCUUUUUCUAACCCCUUCUCUUGGUUAUGAUUUCUUCUAAGUCAAGUCAAGUCUGCUUUAUUGUCAAUUCUUCCACAUGUACAGUACAUACAUACAGAGAAUCGAAAUUGUGUUACUCUCAGACCCCCGGUGCAUACAGAUAACACUAACAGUAGAGCCUAAAAUCUACAUCAAAUAUAACAUAUAAGAUACAUAUAAGAUUUUCCGUGAACACAAAAACACAACAGUCUCUUACAGUCCUCUGAGUUGAACAUAGUAAUCGGAUGAAGUCCAGUUUAUUUUCCAAAGAGUGUAACCUCCACGCUUGCCCCUCUUCUGCUUCCUCUCACGCAACUUGUGGCACCUCUGCUGUAGGCGAGAUGCAUCAAUGGGGGUCGGUGAUGUAGGCCUCCAGAGCAGACCGAGGGCCUGCAGCUGUUCCACGUGCGUGGAGUUUAAGUCUUAAAAUACGGUUCUGCUGACAUCCAGCAGAAACUCACGACUGUAUGCGCGCUUAAAGACAGGUAGACGCGAUGAUGACGUACAAGAACACUGCGACUCACAAGACAAAAAACAAGAGAGAAGCCGCUGCGUGUGGACGCGCCGCCAUCUUUUAAUGAUGUUUAAUCUAUAAACAUUUGUUUAUAGAAUGGGGUUAUUCUGUGGAACUGUUUGUGUCCAUGCAGGUUCCACAGUAACAGCAGCAAGAAUGAAUAAAGGGAAAAUUCAAACAAAAAUUUAAAUUCUGUUAUCAUUUCCUCACUUUCAUGUUGUUUCAAACUUGUAUUACUUUCUAGAAAUUAUUUUCAAGAAUGUCACUGAAAAUCACUGACAUGUUGUUCUGGACCCCAGUGAUUUUCAUCUUAUGGUCAUUCUGUAACAUUCUUAUUCUUAACAAUAUCUUAUUUUGUGUUCUGCAGAAGAAAAACAUUAUACAGGUUUGGAACAACAUCAGGGAGAGUAAAUGACUACAAAAUAUCCCUUUAAUGGAGCCAUACACGUUUGAUUACAAUUUGCUAUAUAUAUAAUUAUAUUUUUCUCACUAUUGUCAACUUAUAAUAUAAGGGAUUCUUGCAUAAUUUAGUUUUUCAUGACCACUUGCCACCCUCUCUAUUAUCUUUUGUAUAUUAUUAAUAUAGUUUACACUGCCUCAUCUUUCUUUUUAAAGCCUCUAUUACAUUGUGACAGGUUAAAAAAAGUCAAAGAUUUAUUACCAUCUUAUUUUUGGAAUCUUAAUUAAAUAAUAAUAAUAAUAAUAAUAAUUAUAUAUAUAUAAUAUAUAUAUAUAUAAUUUCACGUUAACUACUAAAUAUUGUUAUAGUAUAACAUUAUUUUCUCCUUGUUUAGGAACCAGAUACACCCAACCCUGUGCUGUUUAUGAAGGGACAUGCCUUGGAUGCAGAGUCUCUUUAGAAAUAAUGAUGGAAGGGGAGGAGGAGGUCUGUGAAGUAGAUGAUGUGAACACAGCUCUACACUUCAUCUUCAACACUGAAUAUGCUUCAAAGUUGAGAGACACCCUGACAUUUACUGAAAACUGUUUAAUGUAUCAUAAUGCCAAAACCAAUAAUAAUAUAUUUUUUAAUUAAAUUAAUGUAUAUGUAUAUAAAUACAUGAAAUUUAUUGUUGUUUAUUUAUGUGUUUGUUUGUAAUACAUAUUUAUUGAUGAUUGUUUAUUUAUUUGUGUUUGUUGCUUUGUUUGUAAUACAUAUUUAUGUAUUAAACAGUUUAAG